rnacentral:misc_RNA from 1 species
UUUUCUUCACAUAGGUUGAUUCAUCUUGGUUCUGAUGCAUCGAAGGAGUUUGUUGGAGAUUUAUCCAUUCUUAAGCACAGGAUAGAGGUUCAGGCGCUUAAUGCAGUCCAACAGGUGCUAUAAAUUCUAUAUAAGUUCUUCCAACUGUAAACAUCCACUUGAAUUGAACUUUUGUUUGCAAACCUUUUUCUGCUUUUUGGUUUAGGAAGAAGUUGAAACCCUCAAAGAACCAAUCUUGGAUGUCUACCGAGAUGGAAACCAAAUUUCUGCAGUCAGUUUGUAUACCAUUGAUAAGAAUGAUAGUCUUGGUCAACCUAAGAAUGUCAGUUUGGCUGGAAAUAAUGAAACCACACAUGAUACGAAGAAAGUAGGUCAACAAAGUUUACCAGAGGAAACACUGGGCAGACGAGAAAAGGCAUCGGAAAAAUCCAGACCAAAAGAGGUGCUUCAGAA